UAAAAUUUCGGCAGAAACAAUUGGGAGUUGAGGGAGGAAAAACAACAGAAAAUAGGAAAGAAAAGCAAAAGAAAAUAGUGGAGCAAAAAGAAAAGAAAAAACUAUGCCAAAUGACCGAAAUUAGGAGAAAGAUAACUCCACAAUCCCAUAUUUUCCUCCUAAAAUCACUCCAACACUCCAAUCCCAAAUUUCCCUCCUAAAAUCACUCCAACACUCCCCCACCACGCCAC
rnacentral:lncRNA from 1 species